rnacentral:rRNA from 1 species
GGCUAGUAUUGUCCGAGCGUCCCUAGCGACGACAAUGCUCGGCACCUCGAUGUCGGCUCGCCACAGCGCGGGGGUGUAGAAGCUCCCAAGCGUUUGGCUGUUCGCCAAUUAAAGUGGCACGUGAGCUGGGUUCAGACCGUCAACGUUAGAUAACCCAAUCGAAGGUAACGUAAGAUACUGUUAAAAAGAAGAAACGGCGGCCCUUGGCAGCGAUGCCAAGGAGUGAAGCUUUGCAUUAAAGUUCGUCAUUCGUCCGACGAAUCGUAAAGCGUGAAAAUCGACUCAUAUCGAUGAAGUCCUUUUUGGUCUAGACCUGGACCGUGAGGAUAAUAUCGAGGGAAGUCGUGCGAGUGCGAAAGCAUUUGCAUUGACCCCUUAGAGACUUAGUUCGCAAGAACUGGAGUUCGGCAAUAAUGCCGGGCUAACACGUCGAUCAUCUCAAAUAGUGAGAUGGUGGUAUAGUCCAACCCGCCAGUAAUGGCGAUUCAGAAGAAGUUGCGUGAGACAGGUCGGUCUCUAUCUGCUGCAGGCGUGAAAUACUUGAGGGGAGUUGGCCUUAGUACGAGAGGACUGGGCUGAACAUACCUCUGGUCUACCGGCUUUGCCACCAGGUGAAUUGCCGGGUAGCUAUGUAUGGAAGGGAUAAGCGCUGAAAGCAUCUAAGCGCGAAGCCCACCCCAAGAUUAGGUAUGCGUGGUUUCGUCAUAGACUAUGACGUUGAUAGGCUCUAGGUGUAAGGUCCGUAAGGAUUUCAGCCGAGGAGUACUAAUAAUCCGCCAACCAUCCCAAU